UGGCGGCAUGCCUAACACAUGCAAGUCGAACGAGACCUUCGGGUCUAGUGGCGCACGGGUGCGUAACACGUGGGAAUUUGCCUCGGGGUAUGGAAUAACUCAGGGAAACUUGAGCUAAUACCAUAUAAUGUCUUCGGACCAAAGAUUUAUCGCCCUGAGAUAAGCCCGCGUAGGAUUAGCUAGUUGGUGGGUAAAGGCUCACCAAGGCGACGAUCCUUAGCUGGUCUGAGAGGAUGAUCAGCCACACUGGGACUGAGACACGGCCCAGACUCCUACGGGAGGCAGCAGUGGGGAAUAUUGGACAAUGGGCGAAAGCCUGAUCCAGCAAUGCCGCGUGAGUGAUGAAGGCCUUCGGGUUGUAAAGCUCUUUUACUCGGGACGAUAAUGACGGUACCGAGAGAAUAAGCCCCGGCUAACUCCGUG
rnacentral:rRNA from 1 species